GAUGAACGCUGGCGGCGUGCCUAAUACAUGCAAGUCGAGCGAACGGACGAGAAGCUUGCUUCUCUGAUGUUAGCGGCGGACGGGUGAGUAACACGUGGAUAACCUACCUAUAAGACUGGGAUAACUUCGGGAAACCGGAGCUAAUACCGGAUGAUAUUUUGAACCGCAUGGUUCAAAAGUUAAAGACGGUCUUGCUGUCACUUAUAGAUGGAUCCGCGCUGCAUUAGCUAGUUGGUAAGGUAACGGCUUACCAAGGCAACGAUGCAUAGCCGACCUGAGAGGGUGAUCGGCCACACUGGAACUGAGACACGGUCCAAACUCCUACGGGAGGCAGCAGUAGGGAAUCUUCCGCAAUGGGCGAAAGCCUGACGGAGCAACGCCGCGUGAGUGAUGAAGGUCUUCGGAUCGUAAAACUCUGUUAUUAGGGAAGAACAUAUGUGUAAGUAACUGUGCACAUCUUGACGGUACCUAAUCAGAAAGCCACGGCUAACUACGUG
rnacentral:rRNA from 1 species